GACGAACGCUGGCGGCGUGCUUAACACAUGCAAGUCGAACGGAAAGGCCCUGCUUUUGUGGGGUGCUCGAGUGGCGAACGGGUGAGUAACACGUGAGUAACCUGCCCUUGACUUUGGGAUAACUUCAGGAAACUGGGGCUAAUACCGGAUAGGAGCUCCUGCUGCAUGGUGGGGGUUGGAAAGUUUCGGCGGUUGGGGAUGGACUCGCGGCUUAUCAGCUUGUUGGUGGGGUAGUGGCUUACCAAGGCUUUGACGGGUAGCCGGCCUGGGAGGGUGACCGGCCACAUUGGGACUGGGAUACGGCCCAGACUCCUACGGGGGGCAGCAGUGGGGGAUAUUGCACAAUGGGCGGAAGCCUGAUGCAGCAACGCCGCGUGCGGGAUGACGGCCUUCGGGUUGUAAACCGCUUUCGCCUGUGACGAAGCGUGAGUGACGGUAAUGGGUAAAGAAGCACCGGCUAACUACGUG
rnacentral:rRNA from 1 species